UACGUAGGGAGCUAGCGUUGUCCGGAAUCAUUGGGCGUAAAGCGCGCGUAGGCGGCCCGGUAAGUCCGCUGUGAAAGUCAAAGGCUCAACCUUUGAAUGUCAGCGGAUACUGCCGGGCUAGAGUCCGGAAGAGGCGAGUGGAACUCCUGGUGUAGCGGCGGAAUGCGCAGAUAUCAGGAAGAACACCAACGGCGAAGGCAGCUCUCUGGGACGGUACUGACGCUGAGACGCGAAAGCGUGGGGAGCGAACAGG
rnacentral:rRNA from 1 species